rnacentral:rRNA from 1 species
GAUGAACGUUGGCGGUGUGCCUAAUACAUGCAAGUCGAACGGAGACUGUAGCAAUACUGUCUUAGUGGCGAACGAGUGAGUAACGCGUUGGUGAUCUGCCUCGAAGUGUGGAAUAACCUCCCGAAAGGGAAGCUAAUACCGCAUAGUCUCUCAAGGUUUAGAAAAUUGAGAGUAAAGGAUUUAUUCGCUUCGAGAGGAGCCUGCGUCCCAUCAGCUAGUUGGUAGGGUAACGGCCUACCAAGGCAAUGACGGGUAGGGGACCUGAGAGGGUGGCCCCCCACAAUGGAACUGAAACACGGUCCAUACACCUACGGGUGGCAGCAGUAGGGAAUAUUAGAAAUGGGCGGAAGCCUGAUCUAGCAACACCGCGUGUGCGAUGAAGGCCUUCGGGUCGUAAAGCACUUUUUGGAGGGAAUAGGAAGGAAGGUACCUCCAGAAUAAGUCUCGGCUAACUACGUG